rnacentral:lncRNA from 1 species
UUGCAGUGAGCCGGGAUCAUGCCACUGCACGCCAGCCUGGGUGACAGAGUGAGACUCCGUCUCAAAAAAAAAAAAAAAAAAACAGAUUUAUGGAGAUCCUCUGAUGUUCCAGACCAUACUAGGUGAUAAAGAAAAACUGUCAGAACACUGACAGGAAAAUGCUUAUGAUAUUUAAAUCCUAUAAGGGGACAGAUUUUUGUUUUUAAAAAAUUAAGAGUUAUAAGGGAGAAAUAGAGAUACAUUUGAAAUGCUCUAUCAAGACUAUGUAGUUUCUGCUUUCCAGGUCCCAGGUGGAUUAGCAAGGCCACAUUUCCUCGUUCUAACAUCUGGUUGUCUGCGAAAUAGCUGCACUUGAGAUUUCCUGGGGAGAGACCUAAGUGGGAAGGCAAU